GAUGAAGAACGUAGCGAAAUGCGAUAAGUAAUGUGAAUUGCAGAAUUCAGUGAAUCAUCGAAUCUUUGAACGCACAUUGCGCCCCUUGGAAUUCCGAGGGGCAUGCCUGUUCGAGCGUCAUUAUAACCCCUCAAGCUCAGCUUGGUGUUGGGGCCUGCUGCACUGGCAGCCCUUAAAAUCAGUGGCGGCGCCAUCUGGCUCUAAGCGUAGUAAUUCUUCUCGCUAUGGAGUCCUGGUGGAUGCUUGCCAUCAACCCCCAAUUUUUCUAUGGUUGACCUCGGAUCAGGUAGGGAUACCCGCUGAACUUAAGCAUAUCAAUAAGCGGAGGA
rnacentral:misc_RNA from 1 species